rnacentral:rRNA from 1 species
AACGAACGCUGGCGGCAUGCCUAACACAUGCAAGUCGAACGAGACCUUCGGGCUUAGUGGCGGAUGGGGCGGCGAACCGGUGGGAACUGCCCAUAAGUCUGCCAUGACUUCCCGAAAGACGUCCUAAUACCGGCUCUUAUACUCCGUCCAACGAUUUAUCGCCUUUGGAUGGGCGUGCGUCGGAUUGGUAUGUUGGUAGGGUAAAAGCGUACCAAGGGGAGGUUCCAUAACUGGUUUGAGAGGCUGAGCCGCGACACUGGUAUUGAGACACGGUCCAGACUCCUACGGGAGGCAGCAGUGGGGAAUAUUGGACAAUGGGCGAAAGCCUGAUCCAGCAAGGCCGCGUGAGUGAUGAAGGCCUUAGGGUUGUAAAGCUCUUUUACCCGGGACGAUAAUGACAGUACCGGGAGAAUAAGCUCCGGCUAACUCCGUG